CAAUGGGAAGACAACCAUAACAACAUGAACUGAAUUAAUCAGUGCGCACGACUAGUUAAAAACAAACAUCCUUUGACAAGAAGUUUCUAAUUAAAUCAUGGCUGCGUCUGGGCAGCAUUAUUAUGAGAAUGAAGGUGGAUGUGCUGCUACUUCCCACUCCCCUUGAUGAGCAACAAGCACCUGCAUUGAGUAAUGCAAGAGUGAGAUGAAACAUCUCAGCAAGCUAAUUGUUCUGACGAGAUAUUUAAACCACAAAUUGAAUUCAUCAACAUUUUAAAAGAGUCACAAUUAAAAAUCAGAAAUGCUUGUAGAUAUAGAACUCAGUAGUCCCACUAUAACCAAUACCAUCUCAUUUCCUCGAACAACCACAAUAGGUUCUAUAACACUUCCCUGCGUCAACAAUACCUGCAAAUAUCACUUCAAUGUAUGCAUAGGAAUGCAAUGUGUAGGUACUCUAUCUUCAUACCUCUGGGGGUAUAAAACCACAUCAUCUGCAAAUAUCACUUCAAUGAAUGCAUAUGAAUGCAAUGCAUAUGUCCUCUGCCUUCAUACCUCUAAGGGUAUGAAGUCGCAUCGUACCCCUUCUCGGGCAACGUACGAUGCUAAGUUGUACCGGUACGGUCGGACCAUAGGUCACGACAAAACUUCAUAUGCAAAUGAGUCAUGCAAUGUAUAUGGCAUGCUACAUUUAUCAAUAAACUUCACUUCCUUCAGAUACAACACAAACCUCAAAUAAUACUUCAUUUACCUUCAGAUACAAUACCAACCUCAAAUAAUACUUCAUUUACCUUCAAGGGUGUGAAUUAAUCUCAUGAGUCAUACUCAAAUCAUAAUCAUCAUCAAUAUAUGAUUGAGCAUCAGUAUAAUGCAAGCAAGUAAAGCAUCACCAUAGAGUCCAAUUAUGAAAGAAUCUGAUACUUCUGAAUAUUAGAGUGUAGGCGAUAGAAAUAACAGGUCAGAACGGAAGCAACCACCGCUACAUUCACUUGCCUUCAUCAAAGAAGAAGAAAUGUACUAGACAUGAUCUGGAGUGUAGCCACCUAGGGUUUCCCCAAGAAAUCUUCAAGAGGAGAUGGGGAAGAACAUCUCCUUGAUCCUCUCUUCCUCUUCAAUUCAACGUGCCCCUCCUUUUCUCGAUCCUUGCUGCGUAGGGGGAGAUCUUGGGGGAGGAAGCAAUGGAGGAUGGCUACCAUAGGGGGAGGGGGCGUCCAGCCAAGGGGGAGAAAAAGGGGGUGGCGGCCAAGAGGGGGGGGGUGAAGGGAAAAAAAGGGGUGGCCACCUAGGGUUUUUGUGGGAGAAAGAAACGACGCCUCAGAUGACUUCUAUCUUUGCAUCCAAUGGCCCACAACCCUUUACCUCAUCCACGCACCAGAGAUUAACUUUUGGUCAACAUUUUUUUUGGGAUAUUACACUCUACCCCCCUUAAAAAGAAUUCGACCUCGAAUUCGGCCACUCCAAGCAAAACACCCAAGGUACCCCAUAUAGCACCACAAUUCAAAACAUGGGUCCAUUAUUGGUCUUAAUUAACACAAGAACUUCUACCUUGGACUAAUUGUAUAAGGAAACUACGCGACCUGACAUCAAGCAUGAAACAACAUGUAAUGAAGCUCAAAGCAUGUCAUAGUUGCAAUCAACACUCCAAUUUCACACCAUCAAAUUUGGAUGCAGCUAUACAUCAACAUCAAUGUCUUAAGACAACACUCUUUUAUGAAGGGGUAAUAUGCACCAAGCACAACCCUUACCAACUUCAACCAUUAAUUUUAAUUAAAUGGUGAAACAUCUACACCCGACGAAUGUAUAAGAAGAUCAAACACCUCACCUUAAAGCACUAUGAAACAAGUAGUUCUAUUGGAACAAAACUCCUAAUCUUCCUAAACCUUAUUCUUGCCAUCAUGAAAAGAUAAUCAUGUAAUCUAACAUUCCUUGCACCCCACCAAAAGGGAGAAAAUCUAUAGAACUAAUGGAGCAAUAAAGCCAAAAGAAGCCAAUAACAUCUUGUGCGGCAUAGUUCAUCGAAGAAAUGCCAAAAACUCUACAUAGAGCACUGAUAGCCCAACAACAACACAAUACUUGCUUAACCCAUGUCACUAUACUUCAUUCAACAUCUCAACUAAGAAAAAUAUCCAACUAGUAAGGAUAACCUACACAUAAUAUAAGUCUUCAUCUACUGUAGUUCAGAAACUUACAUUUCAUUCUAUCAUACGAUGCACUCAAAGUACCAGACAUACAAAGUCAAUAAUAAUAACCCCUAAUCCUUCACACAUUUGACAAACAUAUUAAGCUGAUGUAAACACCACAUGAUCUAGGAAUAGGUGACUAGCCACACCCAACCAACUCUAGGCUAGGCAAGGACUUCCUUCAAACCAAUAGAUAGGUGGUCUAAAAAAAUGGCUCCACAAGCAUGCAUCAAAAAGGGAACCAUCAGAUCCUCAAUGUAUCAAUACAUAAUCAAUGGACCAAGAGAAUCAAAGAUUUAUUCUACAAUUAGUAUGACUAACAGGCAACCACUUUAAACCACAUCUAGGCUUUGUGGCAACUAAAACACACAAUAUGAGAGAGACAUGUAAGCCAUUCUGGCUAUGAAAAGACUUCCCCCAAAAAUCCAUAUAAAGUACCAAUAUUCAUUUCUUUCAAAAUUGGUUUCUCAACAUAAAUAAUCAUUCUUUGCAAUGAUAGUUGGAGCUAUCCACCAACCGCUCAACAACUUAAAUUCAAAUUGAUGAUUACCUUGUACCCCAAAACACGCAAUUCACACUGCUCUUAGAAACAUCCACAAUCAAGCAUAUAUAACAAUAUUAUUGUAAUAAAACUCAACCAUGAAAAACAUGGUGAAAACAACAUAGGCAUACUUGUAUAUCACAAGCAUAAUAACAACUUCAUUCUCACCAAUGACCAACGAUAUCUACCGCAUUAAUAAAACAAUAUCAAAAUUUCAGAAAUAAAUUAUAUCAAGCAUUAAGCCAUAAACAACUUACCACAUUACCGUAAAGGAAUAGGGAGGGGUGAAACUAUUGUCAUCUGCACUCCAAAGACAUUAAUAUAUAUCAAAGAUAUUUGAACCCAUACCCUUCCUAUAUGUGCAAGUGUGUCAAAUUUAUCUUCAAAUUGCCAAGAAUAUAAAGCCUAUGCUUUGAUACCAACUGUAACACCCCGGGAUCCACAAACACCCCAGAAUGCUACUAAACUACACAUCUAAUAUUCAUAUAUAAAAUUUCGACAUCAUCUCCUUUGAAAAUUGCAUAAACGGGGGAAGCAACAAAGUAUAAAUAGAUAUCAUGAUAAGAAAACAUAUAAGACAUUAAUAAUCUGCUAGCAAUGGGAAGACAACCAUAACAACAUGAACUGAAUUAAUCAGUGCGCACGACUAGUUAAAAACAAACAUCCUUUGACAAGAAGUUUCUAAUUAAAUCAUGGCUGCGUCUGGGCAGCAUUAUUAUGAGAAUGAAGGUGGAUGUGCUGCUACUUCCCACUCCCCUUGAUGAGCAACAAGCACCUGCAUUGAGUAAUGCAAGAGUGAGAUGAAACAUCUCAGCAAGCUAAUUGUUCU
rnacentral:lncRNA from 1 species